AAAUGAAAUAUUAAUAAAUAAAUAUAUGUAUAAGAAAAAUAGGCAAAGCAACCGCCAACAUUUAUUCAUGAUAGUUGGAAAGCCAAGACAUUUUGUGUUCUGAGCUCCUUGGGAUUUCCUAAGUGGCAAAUACCUAUUAACAGACAGAAAAUCGAUAAGAACUUGAGCUGGCGGCCAAUGGGAGUUCGAAUGUGUUCGAAUAUUUUUAUAAAUAGGCAACGGCGAUGCUAACUGUAAUUGUAUCCAUAUGCGUUUGCGGCUUAAGUGCCCUGAAAACGGGCAGAACUUCAAAGUUAAGAAAACCGCAAAUAAAUAGAAAAAUAAGAAAAUAAAAUCAGAAGCUGAAUAGGAAAAAUAAGAAAAAAAAUUGUCAAUAACAAAGGCCUGCAAACAUGUGAGAAAUUUAGAUGAAUGCUGAGCGUCUCAUGCAUAUGAGGAGAUGCUCCAAGCGACAGAGAUAGACAGCACAGAUACAGAUGCAAAUGCAAAUCGAGAGACACAGAUACAGAUGCAGUUGCAGAUACAGAUAGAGAUAGAGAUAGAGAUACAAAUACAGUUGCAAUUGCAUUAGAUUGAGUUUAUGACGACGAUUAAGCGCCAGAGCCAGCAGACCAUAGCGAUCGAGGCAGCAGCAGCAGCAGCAGCAGCAGCGGCAGCAGAGAGAGGGAGAGAGAGCGAAAGAGAUAGAGGGAGAGCGAGCAUCGAUUGAAUUACAAACUAAAUCAAUGCAUUCGCAUUAGAAGCCUUAAAAUGCGAGAUUUCUCUCAGAUUCGCGCGUAUUUAUCGCGGCUGUAAUCGCAAGCUGAAACUCAUUUCAUUAUCAGCUGCACAUUGAGACGCAACGAGCACGGCGCCAGCUUAAACGAGAAAUCAAAGAAUGUAGAAUAUAUACUAUAUAUACACAUAUAUGUUUAGUGAAUCUGUUGUCAAGUGUAUCCUGUGUUGCAGUUUCGGUUUGUGACCGACACUAACGGGUAGUUGAGGCAUCUCGUAUUCGCUGUUUUAUACUCGUUUUUGCGAUCACAAAUUCUGAAAUUGCAACGAAACGCAACGAAAAUGAAAAGUGCAUUCCCAAGGAGAGGGCGCAGGGCGUUCAGGGCGAGGGCAUCAACAAGAGUUGUGUGCUCCAGUGCGAAAAGUGUGAGAUCUAUUUGUACUAUGAUUGUUCGAAAUCAGCUAGCCCUAUUAAAGGGGAGUGUAAGAACGUUCAAUAUAUAUGUAUGUAUAGAGCGUCGAAGAUGUCAAACUGUCUGAGGCAUUGAAGAAGUUACUCUCUCUGCUGCUGCUAUUAGAAUCAAAUGCAAUAUAUAGAUAUUACAUUUAUAAAGAUGUGUCAUCCUUGACAUUUACUUAGCACAAUUGUGAAAUCUUCUUAUGGGCAUAUCGAACUUUUAAAUUUAGAAAAUAAACUUUUAAAUUUAGAAAAAUAAACCUCAGUUUCUACUUAAAAUAUUCGACAUAGAAUUAUUGCACAGAGGAAUAUGUCGAUAUUGCGAAUAGAUGUUUUUGUAUAAGUAAUAGUAUAUAAACUAUAUGUUCGGAAUAGAAUAUAAUAGAAUAGAUAUAGGAUAUGUGAAUUCUUUUGCCAACUUUAUCCCUCUCUUUCAGUCCUCUUGGCUGUUUAGCUUACUCUCUAUUUCUCUUUUACCCUUUUUCUUCCUCUCUGUAUUCGUCUCUUUCCUUCAGUUCAUGUAAUUAACUACUUCAAUAGAUCUCGCCAAAUUUCUACUAAAAUCAUUUGCUGGGUAUCUUCCAGUAGAACUACCUCAACGUCUACAUUAUUUGUUGCUUACGCUUUGUUUUCCGUUUGCCGUUUUCCGUUUCCAUGCAAUGUGAUUUGCUUCACCAAAUUACCAAAUAUGACAAAUCCAAGCCACACUCCUAUAUUUCAUGUUAAAUGUUCGGCACGAGGCUCGUCUCUUUUUCCUUUUUUUGACAACAGCUGAAUUGCGCAUUUUGACAACUGUUUGUUAUGCCCUAUUUAUAUGGGCAUUUACAAAGUGGGUGGAUAUAUUCGAAUAGUACAAUAAUAUAAUAACAAUCGUACUAUAGUAGCACAUACAUAUAUAUAAUAUAUCAAAUACUAAACGAUUCGCAGAUUGAUUAUCUGAUCUUAAAUAGUUUUCUAAUAUAUAUUACUAGAUUCGAGUUAUAUGACCUAUCGAUAAAUUAAUGUAAAUGCUAUAAAUAUAUGAGCUAUAAGUAUAUAUAGUCUAUAUAAAGUAAUUUUCUUCAUUUUUAUUACGAUGUGUUAUUUACAGGGUAUAUUUCAUGCAACUAGCUCUAGCAGAUUUUUUAUGUUUAUUGAUUUUUGUUGCUAUUUUUCGACUUUUACACGAGACACAAGUUUGCAUGUAAAAAGCUGCUUAGUAAAAGUACCAAAUAUUAUUUGUAGCACACGCACGCACACAUCAUACAUACAUACAUAUAUAUGGUCAUAUAUAUAUAUAAACAUAUCAGUAUUAUUAUGCGUAAUAAAUAUAUUUUUAUGGCUCAGCAAUUCCACAAACUGAGAUGAGUUCUCUUAGUGACAUAGUUGCUGAGGCAACAGAUUGGAAAGGGUCGAGUUGUGGAGUCCCAGGAUAGGUAUGAGUCGAACGAUAUAAGUUUGCCCUUGUCCCAUAAGAAUCAUAUCUCAUAUAUGUAUUGAUCAAAACAAUCAAAAAUUCAAUGGCAGUCUAUCGACAAUUUAUUUCCUUAUCCUCAUUUCCCCUAUUUGUAACCAUAAUUAAAUUUGCAGCUUAUGUAAAUAUGUAUAAUUAAAUACUGCUAGAUUAAUAAUUAUAGCAGGGAGAGAGAGAGAGAGAGAGAGAGAGAGAGGCUGUGAAAGGAAGGAAGUGGAAGUGAAUAGACGAUGUUGGCAUCAUAAUGAGCUAUAACUAAGUCAAAUAAUGCUGCGGGCAAUGCGUGAGCCUCAUCAAGCCGAGGCUGAUGACUUACGGAGGUGCGAUAAGGCUUACGCAACACUCACGGCUGCGCAGGGGUCAUGACCUCUGCUAUUAGAUGCUCGCAAGCAGAAAAGUGCUGUAAAAUUCAUUUAGCAACUGUUGUACAUGCCAAAGUGUGCUGUCUCGCUCUCUCUCUAUCUCUCUCUCUCUCUCUUUCGCACUAUAUCUCUCUUCCUUCUUCCUUCCGUUCUUUAAUUAAGUGUAAAAUUGUGCAGCUGAGAGGCGAAUUUGGCAAAUGAUUUAAUAUUGAGCGUGGUGGGCGUGGGGGGAAGGGCUUUCUUUGUUUUUGUCAUUGCAAAUUGCUCAACAAUUGACAAAUGAAUUGCAAAUCGUUGAAAUUUCAAUUUUGGCAAGCUGACAGCAUUCGAAAUGCAGUUUACAAUUUCAAUCAAAAUAAAUUAUAUGCUUUUGACAACUCUCACAUAGACUAGGCUCUAUUUGUGGGCAUUCAUGUGCUCUUGAUGACCCAGUAACAAGCCCAACAAUGUAAGCCUAACUAUGGCAAUUGUCAUUCUUGGCAGCACUAGGCACUAGGUAAGGGCAGUCUGGAAAUACACUAAGAUUUUGUGGUAUAUCAAAUGACAACUAUUUGUAAAAGUUGUAGACCUAAAGACAAUUCGCAUACCAAAUUCGAUCACUUUAAUUCUUAGUCAUAAUCCUUUGCUAUAAGGAAUAUAUCAUAUUGUUUGAUAUAUUGAUAUAUUGUUUCAGUUUGAUUUCUUUAAAUUCUACUUUUAGACUGACAAUUUCUAGUCGUUUUUUUCAUCUACUGAUAAUCACAACGACUCUGUACAUGGCUAUCCUUGUCAUUCUCUCUCUUUCUCCCUCUCUCAUGGAAUGUAAAGUUAAAGUGAGGAUGCUAACUAAAAAUAGCUAAGACGAAAACUCAAUUGGAUAAUGUUUUGAUAACAAGUCUAUCAGAGUGCUAUUCCCUAUACACUUUCUAUAUAUUACUUAGUUUUCGAGUUUAGAGAAUAGUUUUUUUUUUUUUUAAUCUGUAGUUAGUUUUUAUACAAUUUAGCUUAUUUUAAGUUACACAGCGUUAAGCUUAUAAGGAAUGUUCAGCAUAGAUAUUGCUAAUCCCCAUGUUAUAUGCUCGCUGUUUCCCUUAAACCCUAUUAGAAAUGCUCAGAGUAAAUAAAUACAUUCAAAGCCGUA